UAAGAACCCAAAUAUCCUCGCAACGAAACCCACCAAACCCUUGGAAGUUUCAAUCGAACCUCAACCAACAGACUUUGAUUUCAGAAUCCACUUGCAGAACUGGAAUCAUGUAUGCUUCCAAUGAAGGUGAGGUUAGCAAGCAAUGAAGAUCAGGUGUGCUCUCUGAGUGGAACUGGGUUUUUCAGAGCUUUCAGCUGUAGCAUAGUCUUGGUAGCCCAGUUUUUCAUAUCCAUCACCCCUGCAGCCUCUUAUGCACGAACGAGACACUGAAAGCAUUUUUCAUCCGAAAACAACCCAGAAGUUCCUGAUAUCAGGCUUCAAUUUCAUGCAUAACAUAUAUACGAGAAAACGUUAUUUCUGAAUUUCCAUUGCAGCCAUCAUGAUUUUAGCCUUCUUACCAGUGAUAUUUCGGUGUUUGUUUAAGAUCUUGCAUGGUCUCUAAAACGGAGCAAAGCUGUGAACAUCAGCGAAAGAGAGGUGGGGGUGAUAGGAAAAGGACAAACCAAUGGUGUAAUAUAUGCAUUAAUAUAAGAUCAGAGAAACCGGCGGUUUCAAGACCUCGCAAGAAGGAGCUCAGGUGGUGAUGGGUCUAAUGUCUUUGUUGCUGGUCUUGUUAGAGAUCCUGUCAGUGGUAUUCUGCUGUGGCGAUUGUAUGAACAAAUAAAGGGAUUGUUAUGGCUUAUAGGGAUUAUCCUUAUUAAUUAUGCA